rnacentral:rRNA from 1 species
CCUACGGGGUGCAGCAGUGAGGAAUAUUGGUCAAUGGACGAGAGUCUGAACCAGCCAAGUAGCGUGAAGGAUGACUGCCCUAUGGGUUGUAAACUUCUUUUAUAUGGGAAUAAAAUGUUCCACGUGUGGGAUUUUGUAUGUACCAUAUGAAUAAGGAUCGGCUAACUCCGUGCCAGCAGCCGCGGUAAUACGGAGGAUCCGAGCGUUAUCCGGAUUUAUUGGGUUUAAAGGGAGCGUAGGUGGAUUGUUAAGUCAGUUGUGAAAGUUUGCGGCUCAACCGUAAAAUUGCAGUUGAAACUGGCAGUCUUGAGUACAGUAGAGGUGGGCGGAAUGCGUGGUGUAGCGGUGAAAUGCUUAGAUAUCACGAAGAACUCCGAUUGCGAAGGCAGUUCACUGGACUGCAACUGACACUGAGGCUCGAAAGUGUGGGUAUCAAACAGGAUUAGAUACCCGGGUAGUC